GACGGCCAGAUAACCGCUCCCGUUUCAACGCACGGGAGAGGAACUUCCGGACUUCAUAGGGCAGUGCGCCGCUUGAAAGGGCGGGCUGACGGGGCUAAAAUCCCGUCGGACGGAAAGUGCCGCAGAAAAUAAACCGCCGCAAGGUAAGGGUGAAAAGGUGCGGUAAGAGCGCACCGCGCGUUUGGCAACAAACGCGGCAAGGCAAACCCCGCACGAAGCAAGGCCAAGCCGGUUCACACGCUGCCCGCGUUCGCAACCAAGUAGGCCGCUUAGAGUAAUGGUUAUCCGACUCGCAAGAGUUGACAGAAUCUGGGGUAUCGGCCGUCC
rnacentral:RNase_P_RNA from 1 species